ACACACACACACACACACACACACACGUUUUGGGGGUCUGGUUGGAGACGUCUUCCAUCUCUGCCACUGAAGGAAGCCCAGAACCUCUGCCUGGAUUUACACUGAAGGGGGUUUUACUUUUGAAAAGUACUGAACAGUGCUUAAACAGCUGUCUCCACCUCCUCCAGAGACCUGUCAGACACAGGGACAGUAAAAAUCACAUUUGCACCAUGCUUCUUCCCCAAAACUUUGGAGAGCACAAGGCAAAAGAGAGCAAUUGACUGGAAACCAGGGAAUAAAAUAGUUCGGGAGACAGAGAUGGGGAGAGUUCUCAUUCAGAGAGAGAAUUCCACCAUAAACCCCACUUCAUCUGCAAGACUUGACAGGAAAAUACAAGAAGCCACAAUCGAUGCAGGACUUGUGCAUUUCCCAUGUAUUCACAUUUCAUUGUAGUCUCCAGAGAUGAUUUACAGAUCAGAAGGCAAACAUCUCAGGAAAACAUCUCAGCUUCAGCACA